GACGAACGCUGGCGGCGUGCUUAACACAUGCAAGUCGAACGGAAAGGCCCUGCUUUUGUGGGGUGCUCGAGUGGCGAACGGGUGAGUAACACGUGAGUAACCUGCCCUUGACUUUGGGAUAACUUCAGGAAACUGGGGCUAAUACCGGAUAGGAGCUCCUGCUGCAUGGUGGGGGUUGGAAAGUUUCGGCGGUUGGGGAUGGACUCGCGGCUUAUCAGCUUGUUGGUGGGGUAGUGGCUUACCAAGGCUUUGACGGGUAGCCGGCCUGGGAGGGUGGCCGGCGACAAUGGGACUGAGAUACGGCGCAGACUCGUACGGGAGGCAACAGUGGGGAGUAUUGCACAGUGGGCGGAAGCGUGAUACGGCAACGCCGGGUGCGGAAUGACGGCCUUCGGGUUGUAAACCGCUUUCGCCUGUGACGAAGCGUGAGUGACGGUAAUGGGUAAAGAAGCACCGGCUAACUACGUG
rnacentral:rRNA from 1 species